rnacentral:tRNA from 1 species
ACCUGGCUGGCUCAGUCAGUGGAGUGUAAGACUCUUGAUCUUGGGGUUGUAGGUUCAAGCCCCACGCUGGGUG